rnacentral:rRNA from 1 species
UACGGAGGGUGCAAGCGUCGUCCGGAUUUAUUGGGUUUAAAGGGUGCGUAGGCGGCCCUAUAAGUCAGUGGUGAAAGCCCAUCGCUCAACGAUGGAACUGCCAUUGAUACUGUAGGGCUUGAGUACAGACGAGGUAGGCGGAAUUGAUGGUGUAGCGGUGAAAUGCAUAGAUACCAUCAAGAACACCGAUUGCGUAGGCAGCUUACUAGGCUGUAACUGACGCUGAGGCACGAAAGCGUGGGGAGCGAACAGG